ensembl:snoRNA SNORA74 Small nucleolar RNA SNORA74
CCCAGCUGUAGGGAAUAGCCUAGGUUGCCCUGUACCUAGGCAAGUGUUACACAGCUGGGAGAAAAGCAGCCAAUAGCUGGCAGGAAUCUUGAACCUGGUUAAUACCAAAUU